rnacentral:rRNA from 1 species
GACGAACGCUGGCGGCGUGCUUAACACAUGCAAGUCGAACGGAAAGGCUCCAGCUUGCUGGCGUACUCGAGUGGCGAACGGGUGAGUAACACGUGGGUAAUCUGCCCUGCACUCUGGGAUAAGCCUGGGAGACUGGGUCUAAUACUGGAUAUGACCUUUCUCCUUAUGGGGUUUGGUGGAAAGUUUUUCGGUGUAGGAUGAGCCCGCGGCCUAUCAGCUUGUUGGUGGGGUGAUGGCCUACCAAGGCGACGACGGGUAGCCGGCCUGAGAGGGUGAUCGGCCACAUUGGGACUGAGAUACGGCCCAGACUCCUACGGGAGGCAGCAGUGGGGAAUAUUGCACAAUGGGCGGAAGCCUGAUGCAGCGACGCCGCGUGAGGGAUGACGGCCUUCGGGUUGUAAACCUCUUUCAGCAGGGACGAAGCGUAAGUGACGGUACCUGCAGAAGAAGCACCGGCUAACUAUGUG